GAUGAACGCUGGCGGCGUGCCUAAUACAUGCGAGUCGAGCGAACAGAUGAGGAGCUUGCUCCUCUGACGUUAGCGGCGGACGGGUGAGUAACACGUGGAUAACCUACCUAUAAGACUGGGAUAACUUCGGGAAACCGGAGCUAAUACCGGAUAAUAUAUUGAACCGCAUGGUUCAAUAGUGAAAGACGGUUUUGCUGUCACUUAUAGAUGGAUCCGCGCCGCAUUAGCUAGUUGGUAAGGUAACGGCUUACCAAGGCAACGAUGCGUAGCCGACCUGAGAGGGUGAUAGGCCACACUGGAACGGAGACGCGGUCCAGACUCCUACGGGAGGCAGCAGUAGGGAAUCUUCCGCAAUGGGCGAAAGCCUGACGGAGCAACGCCGCGUGAGUGAUGAAGGUCUUCGGAUCGUAAAACUCUGUUAUUAGGGAAGAACAAAUGUGUAAGUAACUAUGCACGUCUUGACGGUACCUAAUCAGAAAGCCACGGCUAACUACGUG
rnacentral:rRNA from 1 species